UUUUUUAAUUGGAAACUAGAAUGAAUGGUUGAACAAAAUAUUAACUGUUUCAUAAAAAUUUUAUUUGAAUUUUAUUUUUAAGUUAAAAAGCUUAAAUUUUACUAUUGGACGAGAAGACCCUAUAGAGUUUUAUAUUAUAUUUUUUAUUAUUUAUUUAUAAAUAUUAAAAUUUUAAUUGAUAUAAUAUUUUAUUGGGGUGAUAAUAAUAUUUAACAAACUUUUAUUUUUUAUUUACAUUAAUUUAUGGUUUUUUGAUCCAAUAUUAUUGAUUAAAAAUUUAAAUUACCUUAGGGAUAACAGCGUAAUUUUUUUUUAAAGUUCAUAUUAAUAAAAAAGAUUGC
rnacentral:rRNA from 1 species